rnacentral:rRNA from 1 species
GGUGGGGUAAAAGCCUACCAAGGCCACGAUCAGUAGCCGACCUGAGAGGGUGAUCGGCCACAUUGGGACUGAGACACGGCCCAAACUCCUACGGGGGGCAGCAGUGGGGAAUAUUGCACAAUGGGCGAAAGCCUGAUGCAGCGACGCCGCGUGAACGAUGAAGGUCUUCGGAUCGUAAAGUUCUGUCGCAGGGGAAGAUAAUGACGGUACCUGAGGAGGAAGCCACGGCUAACUAC